rnacentral:lncRNA from 1 species
CACUCUGUCACCCAGGCUAGAGUGCACUAGUGUGAUCUCGGCUCACCGCAACCUCUGCCUCCUCCUGGGUUCAAGUGAUUCUCCAACCUCAGCCUCCCGAGUAGCUGAGAUUACAGGUGCCUGCUACCACGCCUGGCUAAUUUUGUAUUUUUAGUACAGAUGGAGUUUCACCAUGUUGUCUAGGCUGAUCUUAGACUCCUGACCUCAAGUGAUCCGCCUGCCUUGGCCUCCCAGAGUGCUGGAAUUACAGGUGGCAGCCACUGCACCCAGUCUGAUCAUUACUUUUGGGUUAAGGAGAUAUUAAAUAAAGAUUGCAAACCAAAAAAGGAGGCCAGCAACAUUGAGAUCUGACAGGCUCCAGUGAAAACGAAGAGGUCUGUUCAAGCCGCAUAGAUCAAUAGUGUCAGCUUGUAAUCUGUGUGAUCUUAUUCAAAACAGACAAUAAACCAUUCUCUGAGGAUACAUAAGGCCCAACAGAAGGAGAAGUUGUAACCAGGCCUCACUCCCCACGUCCACCUAAAGGAAUAUUGCCGUGUGAGCUUUCAGCUUAUUGUACAGUUUGUCUUUCAAUAGGGAGUCUUUAACUAUUAAAUUGUCAGCCCGCAAUAGGACUGGUUCAAGGCCAUCUUUCCUUUUUUUUUUCCACCCCAAAGUAAUUUCACUCUUUAGCAAUUUCCCAAGUUAAUUUAAAUAGGAAAAUAGAAGGCUUAUCUAGAGUACAAAAUAUGAAAAGCUUUAUAAUGUAUUUCAAAACACUGGCAUGCCUCUCUAUUCAGUUCUUGGGGAGGAAAUUCAGUAUCCCACAGUACCCAACUGUUGUCAUGGAAACACUUCUGGUAGGCAGCUUCUUAUUGUUACUGUGGUCAUCCAGCUGCGGGCCCAGAAGGGAGGAGCUGCACUUUUACUCUACAAAAAUGUCACCUCCCUCCUUUUGAAGGAGAUCAGUGAAAGAUUAAUAUUCAAGGGUAGAAAACAACUUACCCCCAGAGAAUGUGAUGGCCACCAGAGCCAGAUCCUCUUCUGCAUACUGGAUCUUUUCUGCCACGACUUUUAGGAUCUCUUGGGCUAUACUGGAAACUUUUGCCUUCACACUGACAUAGGAGUGCUCUGUUAUAUACACGUGGCAGAAAACUGCACAAGUGAAAAGAAUUGUUUGGAAACAGAGAACAGUGGUCACGAGGUAUAGACUUUUCCAAAUCAAGGCACCUUGAUCAACUUUUCUAAAUCAACCCACCUGGCUAUUCUCUUCAGUAUAACACAUACAGAGUUAGAUUUUUUAUAUAUGUACAUGAGCACCUGAGGGUAUACGUCUAUAAAUGUGUGCUUGCAAACACAUGAAACUCAGAUGUUGUAAAGCCAGCCAACAAGCACAAGUAGUAUUUAAUCUUUUCAUUAUGUAAUGAGAGACCCGAGUCACGCAAGUGUGUACUCACUGUAGAAACCAUCUGACCAUAAUACAGUGGAAACUGUGGUACACAGACUGUAUUUUUAAAUCCCUUCUUUGACAGUUGCUGAGAUCUCCCAAAGCUGCAUAUUAAAGUGUCUAAUUCAUAAAUUUUUCCUUUACACUCCAUUUCAGGACAAUCUCAGUGGCCCAAUCAAGAACACCGUAUUUUGCUAUUAGAAUUCUCAUAAGCUUAUCUAAAAAUCUGUCAUCUGCCUUGGUUUUUGAGUUCAGCUUUCUCAGUCAUUUAAGAAUGACUCCAUUUCUCCCAUCAAGGUAGUGAUGAAUUUAGUUUCCAAAUGGAGGUCACAUUUCUAGUCUUUUUAAUUUCCUUUUUAUUGUCUGUGGUGCUAAUAAUUAUUACUAGGACAUUAUCACUAUCAGGGUGAAUGGGUCCUGAAAAAUGUUUUCUUUAUGAUAUUAAUAGCAGAAGCUGUUUUAAUAGCAAUGGAAGUAACUGACACAUUACCUCUUAUAUCAGCUACUAUAAAUGUAUAAAAUGCACUAGCUUCUUUCAAAUAGACAGAAGGACAAUAAUAUACUUAGAUAUUCUACUCUUUGGUGUUGCAAAAAAAUUGAGAGUGAAGCUUCUGGAGAAAUUUUAUAUGCAGUUUAAUUGGCACCACAAAAAUA